rnacentral:rRNA from 1 species
GGGCGGCUAAUACAUGCAAGUCGAGCGCGCCCUUCGGGGUGAGCGGCGGACGGGUGAGUAACGCGUGGGAAUAUGCCCUUCUCUAAGGAAUAGCCUCUGGAAACGGAGAGUAAUACCUUAUACGCCCUUCGGGGGAAAGAUUUAUCGGAGAGGGAUUAGCCCGCGUUAGAUUAGGUAGUUGGUGGGGUAAUGGCCUACCAAGCCUACGAUCUAUAGCUGGUUUGAGAGGAUGAUCAGCCACACUGGGACUGAGACACGGCCCAGACUCCUACGGGAGGCAGCAGUAGGGAAUCUUAGACAAUGGGGGCAACCCUGAUCUAGCCAUGCCGCGUGUGUGAUGAAGGCCCUAGGGUCGUAAAGCACUUUCGCCAGAGAUGAUAAUGACAGUAUCUGGUAAAGAACCCCCGGCUAACUCCGUGCCAGCAGCCGCGGUAAUACGGAGGGGGUUUAGCGUUGUUCGGAAUUAGCUGGGGCGUAAAAGCGCACCGUAGGCGGGAUUAAUAAAGUUUAGAGGUGAAAUCCCAGGGGCUCAACCCUGGA